CCUACGGGAGGCAGCAGUGAGGAAUAUUGGUCAAUGGACGCAAGUCUGAACCAGCCAUGCCGCGUGCAGGAAGACGGCUCUAUGAGUUGUAAACUGCUUUUGUACGAGGGUAAACUCAGAUACGCGUAUCUGUCUGAAAGUAUCGUACGAAUAAGGAUCGGCUAACUCCGUGCCAGCAGCCGCGGUAAUACGGAGGAUUCAAGCGUUGUCCGGAUUUAGUGGGUUUAAAGGGUGCGUAGGCGGUCGGAUAAGUUAGAGGUGAAAUCCCGAGGCUCAACUUCGGAAUUGCCUCUGAUACUGUUCGGCUAGAGAGUAGUUGCGGUAGGCGGAAUGUAUGGUGUAGCGGUGAAAUGCUUAGAGAUCAUACAGAACACCGAGUGCGAAGGCAGCUUACCAAGCUACUUCUGACGUUGAGGCACGAAAGCGUGGGGAGCAAACAGGAUUAGAUACCCCGGUAGUC
rnacentral:rRNA from 1 species